UACGUAGGUGGCAAGCGUUGUCCGGAAUUAUUGGGCGUAAAGAGCUCGUAGGCGGUUUGUCGCGUCUGCUGUGAAAACCGGAGGCUCAACCUCCGGCCUGCAGUGGGUACGGGCAGACUAGAGUGCGGUAGGGGAGAUUGGAAUUCCUGGUGUAGCGGUGGAAUGCGCAGAUAUCAGGAGGAACACCGGUGGCGAAGGCGGAUCUCUGGGCCAGUAUUGACGCUGAGGAGCGAAAGCGUGGGUAGCAAACAGG
rnacentral:rRNA from 1 species